UACGUAGGGGGCAAGCGUUGUCCGGAGUUACUGGGCGUAAAGCGCCCGCAGGCGGUCGGCCAAGUUCAGACUGACAAUCCCCAGCUUCACUGGGGAGGGUGUAUGAAAACUGGCCGACUUGAGGGAUAGAGAGGGACAUGGAAUUCCGGGUGGAGUGGUGAAAUGCGUAGAUAUCCGGAGGAACACCAAAGGCGAAGGCAAUGUCCUGGCUAUUUCCUGACGCUGAGGGGCGAAAGCUAGGGGAGCGAACGGG
rnacentral:rRNA from 1 species